rnacentral:rRNA from 1 species
AUUCCAGCUCCAAUAGCGUAUAUUAAAGUUGUUGCAGUUAAAAAGCUCGUAGUUGGAUUUCUGUUCUCGAGGAUCGGUCCGCCUCACGGUGAGCACUGGUUUUUCUUGGGGACAUCCUCUCGAAGGCGGGUGGUGCACUUAAUUGUGUGCUGCUUGGAUUCGGGACCUUUACUUUGAAAAAAUUAGAGUGUUCAAAGCAGGCGUCGGCUUGAAUACAUUAGCAUGGAAUAAUGGAAUAGGACUUUGGUUCUAUUUUGCUGGUUUCUAGGACCGAAGUAAUGAUUAAUAGGGACUGUUGGGGGCAUUAGUAUUUAAUUGUCAGAGGUGAAAUUCUUGGAUUUAUGAAAGACUAACUACUGCGAAAGCAUUUGCCAAGGAUGUUUUCAUCA